AGCGUACACGGUGGAUGCCCUGGCAGUCAGAGGCGAUGAAGGACGUGCUAAUCUGCGAUAAGCGUCGGUAAGGUGAUAUGAACCGUUAUAACCGGCGAUUUCCGAAUGGGGAAACCCAGUGUGUUUCGACACACUAUCAUUAACUGAAUCCAUAGGUUAAUGAGGCGAACCGGGGGAACUGAAACAUCUAAGUACCCCGAGGAAAAGAAAUCAACCGAGAUUCCCCCAGUAGCGGCGAGCGAACGGGGAGCAGCCCAGAGCCUGAAUCAGUGUGUGUGUUAGUGGAAGCGUCUGGAAAGGCGCGCGAUACAGGGUGACAGCCCCGUACACAAAAAUGCACAUGCUGUGAGCUCGAUGAGUAGGGCGGGACACGUGGUAUCCUGUCUGAAUAUGGGGGGACCAUCCUCCAAGGCUAAAUACUCCUGACUGACCGAUAGUGAACCAGUACCGUGAGGGAAAGGCGAAAAGAACCCCGGCGAGGGGAGUGAAAAAGAACCUGAAACCGUGUACGUACAAGCAGUGGGAGCACGCUUCGGCGUGUGACUGCGUACCUUUUGUAUAAUGGGUCAGCGACUUAUAUUCUGUAGCAAGGUUAACCGAAUAGGGGAGCCGAAGGGAAACCGAGUCUUAACUGGGCGUUAAGUUGCAGGGUAUAGACCCGAAACCCGGUGAUCUAGCCAUGGGCAGGUUGAAGGUUGGGUAACACUAACUGGAGGACCGAACCGACUAAUGUUGAAAAAUUAGCGGAUGACUUGUGGCUGGGGGUGAAAGGCCAAUCAAACCGGGAGAUAGCUGGUUCUCCCCGAAAGCUAUUUAGGUAGCGCCUCGUGAAUUCAUCUCCGGGGGUAGAGCACUGUUUCGGCAAGGGGGUCAUCCCGACUUACCAACCCGAUGCAAACUGCGAAUACCGGAGAAUGUUAUCACGGGAGACACACGGCGGGUGCUAACGUCCGUCGUGAAGAGGGAAACAACCCAGACCGCCAGCUAAGGUCCCAAAGUCAUGGUUAAGUGGGAAACGAUGUGGGAAGGCCCAGACAGCCAGGAUGUUGGCUUAGAAGCAGCCAUCAUUUAAAGAAAGCGUAAUAGCUCACUGGUCGAGUCGGCCUGCGCGGAAGAUGUAACGGGGCUAAACCAUGCACCGAAGCUGCGGCAGCGACGCUGAUGCGUUGUUGGGUAGGGGAGCGUUCUGUAAGCCUGUGAAGGUGUACUGUGAGGUAUGCUGGAGGUAUCAGAAGUGCGAAUGCUGACAUAAGUAACGAUAAAGCGGGUGAAAAGCCCGCUCGCCGGAAGACCAAGGGUUCCUGUCCAACGUUAAUCGGGGCAGGGUGAGUCGACCCCUAAGGCGAGGCCGAAAGGCGUAGUCGAUGGGAAACAGGUUAAUAUUCCUGUACUUGGUGUUACUGCGAAGGGGGGACGGAGAAGGCUAUGUUGGCCGGGCGACGGUUGUCCCGGUUUAAGCGUGUAGGCUGGUUUUCCAGGCAAAUCCGGAAAAUCAAGGCUGAGGCGUGAUGACGAGGCACUACGGUGCUGAAGCAACAAAUGCCCUGCUUCCAGGAAAAGCCUCUAAGCAUCAGGUAACAUCAAAUCGUACCCCAAACCGACACAGGUGGUCAGGUAGAGAAUACCAAGGCGCUUGAGAGAACUCGGGUGAAGGAACUAGGCAAAAUGGUGCCGUAACUUCGGGAGAAGGCACGCUGAUAUGUAGGUGAAGCGACUUGCUCGUGGAGCUGAAAUCAGUCGAAGAUACCAGCUGGCUGCAACUGUUUAUUAAAAACACAGCACUGUGCAAACACGAAAGUGGACGUAUACGGUGUGACGCCUGCCCGGUGCCGGAAGGUUAAUUGAUGGGGUUAGCGCAAGCGAAGCUCUUGAUCGAAGCCCCGGUAAACGGCGGCCGUAACUAUAACGGUCCUAAGGUAGCGAAAUUCCUUGUCGGGUAAGUUCCGACCUGCACGAAUGGCGUAAUGAUGGCCAGGCUGUCUCCACCCGAGACUCAGUGAAAUUGAACUCGCUGUGAAGAUGCAGUGUACCCGCGGCAAGACGGAAAGACCCCGUGAACCUUUACUAUAGCUUGACACUGAACAUUGAGCCUUGAUGUGUAGGAUAGGUGGGAGGCUUUGAAGUGUGGACGCCAGUCUGCAUGGAGCCGACCUUGAAAUACCACCCUUUAAUGUUUGAUGUUCUAACGUUGACCCGUGAUCCGGGUUGCGGACAGUGUCUGGUGGGUAGUUUGACUGGGGCGGUCUCCUCCUAAAGAGUAACGGAGGAGCACGAAGGUUGGCUAAUCCUGGUCGGACAUCAGGAGGUUAGUGCAAUGGCAUAAGCCAGCUUGACUGCGAGCGUGACGGCGCGAGCAGGUGCGAAAGCAGGUCAUAGUGAUCCGGUGGUUCUGAAUGGAAGGGCCAUCGCUCAACGGAUAAAAGGUACUCCGGGGAUAACAGGCUGAUACCGCCCAAGAGUUCAUAUCGACGGCGGUGUUUGGCACCUCGAUGUCGGCUCAUCACAUCCUGGGGCUGAAGUAGGUCCCAAGGGUAUGGCUGUUCGCCAUUUAAAGUGGUACGCGAGCUGGGUUUAGAACGUCGUGAGACAGUUCGGUCCCUAUCUGCCGUGGGCGCUGGAGAACUGAGGGGGGCUGCUCCUAGUACGAGAGGACCGGAGUGGACGCAUCACUGGUGUUCGGGUUGUCAUGCCAAUGGCACUGCCCGGUAGCUAAAUGCGGAAGAGAUAAGUGCUGAAAGCAUCUAAGCACGAAACUUGCCCCGAGAUGAGUUCU
rnacentral:rRNA from 1 species